AUACGGAGGGUGCAAGCGUUAUUCGGAAUCACUGGGCGUAAAGGACGCGUAGGCGGGUUGGCAAGUCAGAUGUGAAAUCCUACAGCUUAACUGUAGAACUGCAUUUGAAACUGCUAACCUAGAGUAUGGGAGGGGGAGAUGGAAUUAGUGGUGUAGGGGUAAAAUCCGUAGAUAUCACUAGGAAUACCGAAAGCGAAGGCGAUCUCCUGGAACAUAACUGACGCUAAGGCGUGAAAGCGCGGGGAGCAAACAGGAUUAGAUACCCUAGUAGUCC
rnacentral:rRNA from 1 species